rnacentral:rRNA from 1 species
UACGGGGGGGGCAAGCGUUGUUCGGAAUUACUGGGCGUAAAGGGCGCGUAGGCGGCUUCGUCAGUCAGGUGUGAAAGCCCUGGGCUCAACCCGGGAACUGCAUUUGAUACUGCGAAGCUCGAAUCUCGGAGAGGUUGGUGGAAUUCCCAGUGUAGAGGUGAAAUUCGUAGAGAUUGGGAAGAACACCGGUGGCGAAGGCGGCCAACUGGACGAGUAUUGACGCUGAGGAGCGAAAGCUAGGGGAGCAAACGGG